UGGGGAAUUUUGGACAAUGGGCGAAAGCCUGAUCCAGCAAUGCCGCGUGUGUGAAGAAGGCCUUCGGGUUGUAAAGCACUUUUGUCCGGAAAGAAAUGGCUCUGGUUAAUACCUGGGGUCGAUGACGGUACCGGAAGAAUAAGGACCGGCUAACUACGUGCCAGCAGCCGCGGUAAUACGUAGGGUCCAAGCGUUAAUCGGAAUUACUGGGCGUAAAGCGUGCGCAGGCGGUUGUGCAAGACCGAUGUGAAAUCCCCGAGCUUAACUUGGGAAUUGCAUUGGUGACUGCAAGGCUAGAGUGUGUCAGAGGGGGGUAGAAUUCCACGUGUAGCAGUGAAAUGCGUAGAGAUGUGGAGGAAUACCGAUGGCGAAGGCAGCCCCCUGGGAUAACACUGACGCUCAUGCACGAAAGCGUGGGGAGCAAACAGG
rnacentral:rRNA from 2 species